UACGUAGGGACCGAGCGUUGUCCGGAUUCAUUGGGCGUAAAGAGCUCGUAGGCGGCUGCUCAAGUCGAAUGUGAAAACUCGAGGCUCAACCUCGAGCCUGCAUUCGAUACUGGGCGGCUAGAGUCUGGUAGGGGGAUCUGGAAUUCCUGGUGUAGCGGUGGAAUGCGCAGAUAUCAGGAGGAACACCGGUGGCGAAGGCGGGAUCCUGGGCCAGUACUGACGCUGAGAAGCGAAAGCAUGGGGAGCGAACAGG
rnacentral:rRNA from 1 species